rnacentral:rRNA from 1 species
UACGUAGGCAGCAAGCGUUGUUCGGAAUUACUGGGCGUAAAGAGUGUGUAGGCGGUGUUCCAAGUCUGGUGUGAAAUCUCCCGGCUUAACUGGGAGGGUGCAUUAGAAACUGGAAUGCUAGAGGAUGGGAGAGGUAAGCGGAAUUCCUGGUGUAGCGGUGAAAUGCGUAGAGAUCAGGAGGAACACCGGUGGUGUAGACAGCUUACUGGGCCAUUGCUGACGCUGAGACGCGAAAGCGUGGGGAGCAAACAGG